rnacentral:rRNA from 1 species
AGUGAACGCUGGCGGCGUGCUUAACACAUGCAAGUCGAACGAGAACGGGUUAUAGCUUGCUAUAAUUGUCAGCUAAGUGGCGCACGGGUGGGUAAUGUAUAGGUAAUAUGCCUCUUACUAAGGGAUAACAAAUGGAAACGUUUGCUAAUACCUUAUACUCCUUAUUAACAGAAGUUAAUAAGGGAAAGAUUUAUUGGUAAGAGAUUAGCCUGUAUUGUAUCAGUUAGUUGGUGGGGUAAUGGCUUACCAAGACUAUGACACAUAACUGGUUUGAGAGGAUGAUCAGUCACACUGGAACUGAGACACGGUCCAGACUCCUACGGGAGGCAGCAGUGGGGAAUAUUGCACAAUGGACGAAAGUCUGAUGCAGCAACGCCGCGUGGAGGAUGACACAUUUCGGUGCGUAAACUCCUUUUAUAUGAGAAGAUAAUGACGGUAUUAUAUGAAUAAGCACCGGCUAACUCCGUGCCAGCAGCCGCAGUAAAAC